AAAGAUGGCGACGGCUCCGCGACGUUGAGGCCGCGUUGGGCGGUUCAGACUCAGGGUGAUGGCAGGAGAGCUGGCUGACAAAAAGGACCGUGAUGCAUCACCUUCCAAGGAGGAAAGGAAGCGAUCACGGACUCCUGACAGAGAGCGGGAUAGAGACCGGGACCGGAAGUCUUCCCCAUCUAAAGAUAGAAAGCGGCAUCGUUCAAGGGAUAGACGUCGAGGAGGCAGCCGUUCUCGCUCUCGUUCCCGUUCCAAAUCUGCAGAAAGAGAACGACGGCACAAAGAACGAGAACGAGAUAAGGAGCGGGAUCGGAAUAAGAAGGACCGAGAUCGAGACAAGGAUGGGCACAGACGGGACAAGGACCGUAAACGAUCCAGCUUAUCUCCUGGUCGAGGAAAAGACUUUAAAUCUCGGAAGGACAGAGACUCUAAGAAGGAUGAAGAGGAUGAACAUGGUGAUAAGAAGCCUAAGGCCCAGCCAUUAUCCCUGGAGGAGCUUCUGGCCAAGAAAAAGGCUGAGGAAGAAGCUGAGGCUAAGAGUCUCACUCUGUCGCCCAGGAUGGAGUACAGUGGCAUGAUAUCGGCUCACUUCAACCUCCACCU
rnacentral:lncRNA from 1 species